AGCGAACGCUGGCGGCAGGCCUAACACAUGCAAGUCGAACGAACUCUUCGGAGUUAGUGGCGGACGGGUGAGUAACACGUGGGAACGUGCCUUUAGGUUCGGAAUAACUCAGGGAAACUUGUGCUAAUACCGAAUGUGCCCUUCGGGGGAAAGAUUUAUCGCCUUUAGAGCGGCCCGCGUCUGAUUAGCUAGUUGGUGAGGUAAAGGCUCACCAAGGCGACGUUCAGUAGCUGGUCUGAGAGGAUGAUCAGCCACAUUGGGACUGAGACACGGCCCGAACUCCUACGGGAGGCGGCAGUGGGGAAUCUUGCGCAAUGGGCGAAAGCCUGACGCAGCCAUGCCGCGUGAAUGAUGAAGGUCUUAGGAUUGUAAAAUUCUUUCACCGGGGACGAUAAUGACGGUACCCGGAGAAGAAGCCCCGGCUAACUUCGUGCCAGCAGCCGCCGUAA
rnacentral:rRNA from 1 species